GUUCCUGUAGCGCAAAGAAUAGCGCGUUGGUCUUCAAAUCCAAAGCUGGAGGGUUCGAAUCCCACCUGGGACG